rnacentral:rRNA from 1 species
GACGAACCGUGCGAACGUUAUUCGGAAUCACUGGGCUUAAAGGGCGCGUAGGCGGGCCCUCAAGUCAGGGGUGAAAUCCUCCAGCUCAACUGGAGAAGUGCCUUUGAUACUGGGGGCCUCGAGGGAGGUAGGGGCGUGCGGAACUUCCGGUGGAGCGGUGAAAUGCGUAGAUAUCAGGAGGAACACCAAUGGCGAAGGCAGCUCGCUGGGACGUGACUGACGCUGAGACGCGAAAGCGUGGGGAGCAAACAGG